rnacentral:rRNA from 1 species
UACGUAGGGUGCGAGCGUUAAUCGGAAUUACUGGGCGUAAAGCGUGCGCAGGCGGUUCGUCAAGUCUGAUGUGAAAGCCCCGGGCUCAACCUGGGAAUGGCAUUGGAUACUAGCGAGCUUGAGUGUGGCAGAGGGGGGUGGAAUUCCACGUGUAGCAGUGAAAUGCGUAGAGAUGUGGAGGAACACCGAUGGCGAAGGCAGCCCCCUGGGCUAACACUGACGCUCAGGCACGAAAGCGUGGGGAGCAAACAG